rnacentral:rRNA from 1 species
UACAGAGGGUGCAAGCGUUGUUCGGAAUCAUUGGGCGUAAAGCGCGUGUAGGCGGUGACUUAAGUCUGGUGUGAAAUCCCUCAGCUUAACUGAGGAAGUGCGCUGGAUACUGGGUUGCUAGAGGACGGGAGAGGGUAGCGGAAUUCCUGGUGUACCGGUGAAAUGGGUAGAUAUCAGGAAGAACAUCGGUGGCGAAGGCGGCUACCUGGUCCGUAUCUGACGCUGAGACGCGAAAGCGUGGGGAGCAAACAGG